GUGAAUCAUCAAAUUUUUGAACGCAAAUUGCACUCCCUGGUAUUCCGGGGGGUAUGCCUGUUUGAGGGUCGUUAGUACACUAAUCGAAGCGUCGCUCUUUUUUUUUAGGGGUGAUCGUGUCGGAUUUGAGCCGCCUUUCAGAUGUUAAUUGAUGUCAAAGUGGCUUGAAAUUGAUCCAUCCG
rnacentral:misc_RNA from 1 species